rnacentral:rRNA from 1 species
CGGGACACGUGGUAUCCUGUCUGAAUAUGGGGGGACCAUCCUCCAAGGCUAAAUACUCCUGACUGACCGAUAGUGAACCAGUACCGUGAGGGAAAGGCGAAAAGAACCCCGGCGAGGGGAGUGAAAAAGAACCUGAAACCGUGUACGUACAAGCAGUGGGAGCACAGAGCAAUCUGUGUGACUGCGUACCUUUUGUAUAAUGGGUCAGCGACUUAUAUUCUGUAGCAAGGUUAACCGAAUAGGGGAGCCGAAGGGAAACCGAGUCUUAACUGGGCGUUAAGUUGCAGGGUAUAGACCCGAAACCCGGUGAUCUAGCCAUGGGCAGGUUGAAGGUUGGGUAACACUAACUGGAGGACCGAACCGACUAAUGUUGAAAAAUUAGCGGAUGACUUGUGGCUGGGGGUGAAAGGCCAAUCAAACCGGGAGAUAGCUGGUUCUCCCCGAAAGCUAUUUAGGUAGCGCCUCGUGAAUUCAUCUCCGGGGGUAGAGCACUGUUUCGGCAAGGGGGUCAUCCCGACUUACCAACCCGAUGCAAACUGCGAAUACCGGAGAAUGUUAUCACGGGAGACACACGGCGGGUGCUAACGUCCGUCGUGAAGAGGGAAACAACCCAGACCGCCAGCUAAGGUCCCAAAGUCAUGGUUAAGUGGGAAACGAUGUGGGAAGGCCCAGACAGCCAGGAUGUUGGCUUAGAAGCAGCCAUCAUUUAAAGAAAGCGUAAUAGCUCACUGGUCGAGUCGGCCUGCGCGGAAGAUGUAACGGGGCUAAACCAUGCACCGAAGCUGCGGCAGCGACGCUUAUGCGUUGUUGGGUAGGGGAGCGUUCUGUAAGCCUGCGAAGGUGUGCUGUGAGGCAUGCUGGAGGUAUCAGAAGUGCGAAUGCUGACAUAAGUAACGAUAAAGCGGGUGAAAAGCCCGCUCGCCGGAAGACCAAGGGUUCCUGUCCAACGUUAAUCGGGGCAGGGUGAGUCGACCCCUAAGGCGAGGCCGAAAGGCGUAGUCGAUGGGAAACAGGUUAAUAUUCCUGUACUUGGUGUUACUGCGAAGGGGGGACGGAGAAGGCUAUGUUGGCCGGGCGACGGUUGUCCCGGUUUAAGCGUGUAGGCUGGUUUUCCAGGCAAAUCCGGAAAACUAAGGCUGAGGCGUGAUGACGAGGCACUACGGUGCUGAAGCAACAAAUGCCCUGCUUCCAGGAAAAGCCUCUAAGCAUCAGGUAACAUCAAAUCGUACCCCAAACCGACACAGGUGGUCAGGUAGAGAAUACCAAGGCGCUUGAGAGAACUCGGGUGAAGGAACUAGGCAAAAUGGUGCCGUAACUUCGGGAGAAGGCACGCUGAUAUGUAGGUGAAGCGACUUGCUCGUGGAGCUGAAAUCAGUCGAAGAUACCAGCUGGCUGCAACUGUUUAUUAAAAACACAGCACUGUGCAAACACGAAAGUGGACGUAUACGGUGUGACGCCUGCCCGGUGCCGGAAGGUUAAUUGAUGGGGUCAGCGCAAGCGAAGCUCUUGAUCGAAGCCCCGGUAAACGGCGGCCGUAACUAUAACGGUCCUAAGGUAGCGAAAUUCCUUGUCGGGUAAGUUCCGACCUGCACGAAUGGCGUAAUGAUGGCCAGGCUGUCUCCACCCGAGACUCAGUGAAAUUGAACUCGCUGUGAAGAUGCAGUGUACCCGCGGCAAGACGGAAAGACCCCGUGAACCUUUACUAUAGCUUGACACUGAACAUUGAGCCUUGAUG